UUGGAGGGCAAGUCUGGUGCCAGCAGCCGCGGUAAUUCCAGCUCCAAUAGCGUAUAUUAAAGUUGUUGCAGUUAAAAAGCUCGUAGUUGAAUUUCGGGGUCAGUAGGUUGGUCGUGCCACUGGUAUGCACUGGUCUCACUGAUUCCUCCUUCCUGAUGAACCGUAAUGCCAUUAAUUUGGCGUUGCGGGGAAUCUGGACUGUUACUUUGAAAAAAUUAGAGUGUUUAAAGCAGGCUAACGCUUGAAUACAUUAGCAUGGAAUAAUGAAAUAGGACGAUCGAUCCUAUUUUGUUGGUUUCUAGGAUUGACGUAAUGAUUAAUAGGGAUAGUUGGGGGCAUUAGUAUUCAAUUGUCAGAGGUGAAAUUCUUGGAUUUAUUGAAGACUAACUACUGCGAAAGCAUUUGCCAAGGAUGUUUUCAUUAAUCAAGAACGAAAGUUAGGGGAUCGAAGACGAUCAGAUACCGUCGUAGUCUUAACCAUAAACUAUGCCGACUAGGGAUCGGAUGAUGUUAAUUUUUUAAUGACUCAUUCGGCGCCUUACGGGAAA
rnacentral:rRNA from 1 species